rfam:Prevotella sp. CAG:1092 genomic scaffold, scf225
GGGCGUUUAGCUCAGCUGGUUUAGAGCAUCUGCCUUACAAGCAGAGGGUCGGCGGUUCGAAUCCGUCAACGCCCA